AUUUAACUUCUACAUUAUAUGUAUUUAAAC
rnacentral:other from 1 species